AGAGUUUGAUCCUGGCUCAGAACGAACGCUGGCGGCAGGCCUAACACAUGCAAGUCGAACGAGAAAGGGGCUUCGGCCCUGAGUAUAGUGGCGCACGGGUGAGUAACGCGUGGGAACGUACCCUUUAGUAUGGAAUAACAGUUGGAAACGACUGCUAAUACCGUAUACGCCCUUCGGGGGAAAGAUUUAUCGCUAAAGGAUCGGCCCGCGUUAGAUUAGCUUGUUGGUGAGGUAAUGGCUCACCAAGGCGACGAUCUAUAGCUGGUCUGAGAGGAUGAUCAGCCACACUGGAACUGAGACACGGUCCAGACUCCUACGGGAGGCAGCAGUGGGGAAUAUUGGGCAAUGGACGAAAGUCUGACCCAGCCAUGCCGCGUGUGUGAUGAAGGCCUUAGGGUUGUAAAGCACUUUCAAUGGUGAAGAUAAUGACGGUAACCACAGAAGAAGCCCCGGCUAACUUCGUGCCAGCAGCCGCGGUAAUACGAAGGGGGCAAGCGUUGUUCGGAAUCACUGGGCGUAAAGCGCGCGUAGGCGGGCUAUCAAGUCAGGGGUGAAAUCCCAGAGCUCAACUCUGGAAUUGCCUUUGAAACUGAUAGCCUUGAGACUCGGAGGGGAUAGGGGAAUUCCUAGUGUAGAGGUGAAAUUCGUAGAUACUAGGAGGAACACCAGUGGCGAAGGCGCCUAUCUGGACGAGUACUGACGCUGAGGUGCGAAAGCAUGGGGAGCAAACAGGAUUAGAUACCCUGGUAGUCCAUGCCGUAAACGAUGAGUGCUAGCUGUCGGGCCCAUAGGGUUCGGUGGCGCCGCUAACGCAUUAAGCACUCCGCCUGGGGAGUACGGUCGCAAGAUUAAAACUCAAAGGAAUUGACGGGGACCCGCACAAGCGGUGGAGCAUGUGGUUUAAUUCGAGGCAACGCGAAGAACCUUACCAGCCCUUGACAUACCGGUCGCGGAUUAGAGAGAUCUUUUCCUUCAGCUUGGCUGGACCGUGUACAGGUGCUGCACGGCUGUCGUCAGCUCGUGUCGUGAGAUGUUGGGUUAAGUCCCGCAACGAGCGCAACCCUCAUCCUUAGUUGCUAACAUUUAGUUGAGAACUCUAAGGAAACUGCCAGUGAUAAACUGGAGGAAGGUGGGGAUGACGUCAAGUCUUCAUGGCCCUUACGGGCUGGGCUACACACGUGCUACAAUGGCGGUGACAAUGGGCAGCAACUCUGCGAAGGGAAGCUAAUCUCAAAAAGCCGUCUCAGUUCGGAUUGUACUCUGCAACUCGAGUGCAUGAAGUUGGAAUCGCUAGUAAUCGUAGAUCAGCAUGCUACGGUGAAUACGUUCCCGGGUCUUGUACACACCGCCCGUCACACCAUGGGAGUUGGUUCUACCUUAAGCCGCCGAGCUAACCUUCGGGAGGCAGGUGACCACGGUAGGGUCAGCGACUGGGGUGAAGUCGUAACAAGGUA
rnacentral:rRNA from 1 species